GGAGUUGUAGCUCAGUGGUAGAGCGCUUACCUCACAUGGGUAAGCCACUGGGUUCAAUCCUCAGCACCACUU
rnacentral:tRNA from 1 species